GGAGAGGUGUCCGAGUGGCUUAAGGAGCACGCUUGGAAAGCGUGUGGUCUCCGUAAGGGGGCUCGGGGGUUCGAAUCCCCCCCUCUCCGCCA
rnacentral:tRNA from 1 species